UAAAGGCCCAUAAUUACAACAAGUCUCGGCAAAAACCGACGACAAUUCUUCGACCUCCUGCGCCGCCGGUUAACACAGAACCGAUCCAACGGCACCAAUACGGUUUACGUCGGUACCCGAACCGCCGCGAGAACUCCACCGAAGAAGACGACGACACGAAGGCGAAUUCUGGGUUUACAAGCGAGAAAAAGAUAGGGAUAAUAUCGUAAUUCCGUUAAAUUAGAAGAUAAGAGUGGAAUAUGUUUUGGCUUUGAUUUAUGAAAUGCUCUUAGGUUGCUGUGGAAGGGAAAUUGGUUCAUUCAAGAAAAAAGCUGCAAGAUCCUUGCCUGGAUAAUAAGUGCUAGGCCAAAAUCUGGUAAUGGUGUUAUUACUAAUGGAGAAGCUUCGGCUUCAAAGAAACAAAUUACUACAAUUGAUGAUGUUCUCAAGGGAUAGGUGGAAUGGCUUUGUGGGAGUCUGGGACCUCCAAGAUUUGUAGUAGGCCGCGUUCUUUGAUCUCCCAAUUGGUAUUGCUUGUUUUGAACUCAAAGACAAGCUCGUUGGAAGUCACCUCCUUUGCUUCAACUUCAAAUGUUAGAUAUGCUCUUCUAAAAGUCGAUAUAAUCCAUGUUAUUUUUGGGUC